AUACGAAGGGGCCAAGCGUUGUUCGGAAUUAUUGGGCUUAAAGAGCACGUAGGCGGCUCGUUAAGCGUCUUGUGAAAUCCCUCGGCUUAACCGGGGAAUCGCUCGGCGAACUGGCGAGCUUGAGCCAAGUAUAGGUGCGUGGAACUCAAGGUUGAGCGGUGAAAUGCGUAGAUAUCUUGAGGAACGCCUGUGGUGAAAACGGCGCACUGGGCUUGGUCUGACGCUGAGGUGCGAAAGUGUGGGUAGCGAACGGGAUUAGAAACCCGAGUAGUCC
rnacentral:rRNA from 1 species